rnacentral:rRNA from 1 species
CGUAGGUGCGAGCGUUGUCCGGAAUUACUGGGCGUAAAGGCGUCGUAGGUGGUUUGUCGCGUCGUCUGUGAAAUUCCGGGGCUUAACUCCGGGCGUGCAGGCGAUACGGGCAUAACUUGGGUACUGUAGGGUAACGUGGAAUUCCUGGUGUAGCGGUGAAAUGCGCAGAUAUCAGGAGGAACACCGAUGGCGAAGGCAGGUUACUGGGCAGUUACUGACGCUGAGGAGCGAAAGCAUGGGUAGCGAACAGGAUU